CAAGCUACCAAGUAAAGAAAUGGAACUGCUAAUCUUCAACCUGUGAUAGAAGAUACAAAAGUAACCAACUGAAUAAUCCUGUUGAUUUGGAGCAAAAUAAUUUGCCCAGAGCCAAAUUACAGAUAACAUAAACACCUAUAUCAUGGUGAAUUCAUCAUCAAAGCAGAUUAUUUUUUAAGGCACAGCCUAGGGAACAGCUGGCCUUUCCCGAUGCAUUUGGCUAAAGAAACUGGCUGCCACCACCUCAAUGAACAAAGAAUUCUG
rnacentral:lncRNA from 1 species